AAACCCUGGAACAGGGUGCAGUCUGUCUGACUCGCAAAGAAUUCCCUGCCCUCUCCACCCCCACCUAAACAAAACUGAUUAAGAUGCAAUGGGAGACAUACCUAAAGCCCUCCGGAUAAGGGAGCAACUGUUCUAGGUCUGAUUUGCAUCUGAGAUCGAACCAGAUGACCAUUCAUUUACAUGGGAGAUGGAGAACAGAAAGCCUGAAG